rnacentral:rRNA from 1 species
UACGAAGGGGGGCUAGCGUUGUUCGGAAUUACUGGGCGUAAAGGGCGCGUAGGCGGCCUUGAUAGUUGGGCGUGAAAGGCCUGGGCUUAACCCGGGAACUGCGUUCAAUACUGCGAGGCUAGAGUGUGGGAGAGGUUGGUGGAAUUCCCAGUGUAGAGGUGAAAUUCGUAGAUAUUGGGAAGAACACCGGUGGCGAAGGCGGCCCACUGGUCCGGUACUGACGCUGAGGUGCGAAAGCGUGGGGAGCAAACAGG